rnacentral:rRNA from 1 species
GAUGAACGCUGGCGGCGUGCCUAAUACAUGCAAGUCGAGCGAACAGACGAGGAGCUUGCUCCUCUGACGUUAGCGGCGGACGGGUGAGUAACACGUGGAUAACCUACCUAUAAGACUGGGAUAACUUCGGGAAACCGGAGCUAAUACCGGAUAAUAUAUUGAACCGCAUGGUUCAAUAGUGAAAGACGGUUUUGCUGUCACUUAUAGAUGGAUCCGCGCCGCAUUAGCUAGUUGGUAAGGUAACGGCUUACCAAGGCAACGAUGCGUAGCCGACCUGAGAGGGGGGGUCGCCCACACGGGAAGGGGGACGGGCACCAGCCACCGGGGGGAGGAGGAAGGGGGGAUUCUGCGGCAGGGGGCGAAACCCGGAGGGAAAAGGGCGGGGGGGGAGAGAAGGUUCUGGGGUCCGAAAACUUGUUUUAUGGGGAAAAAAAAAAUUUGAAAGUAAAAAUGCCCGUUGGGAGGGUCCCAAACAAAAAACCCCCGGCAAACUAGGGG